AGUGAACGCUGGCGGUAGGCCUAACACAUGCAAGUCGAACGGCAGCACAGUAAGAGCUUGCUCUUACGGGUGGCGAGUGGCGGACGGGUGAGGAAUACAUCGGAAUCUACUUUUUCGUGGGGGAUAACGUAGGGAAACUUACGCUAAUACCGCAUACGACCUACGGGUGAAAGCAGUGGAUCUUCGGACCUUGCGCGAUUGAAUGAGCCGAUGUCGGAUUAGCUAGUUGGCGGGGUAAAGGCCCACCAAGGCGACGAUCCGUAGCUGGUCUGAGAGGAUGAUCAGCCCCACGGGAACUGAGACACGGUCCAGACUCCUACGGGAGGAAGAAGUGGGGAAUAUGGGACAAUGGGCGAAAGCCUGAUCCAGCCAUACCGAGUGGGUGAAGAAGGACUUCGGGUAGUAAAGCCCUUUUGUUGGGAAAGAAAAGCAGCAGGUUAAUACCCCGCUGUUCUGACGGUACCCAAAGAAUAAGCACCGGCUAACUUCGUG
rnacentral:rRNA from 1 species